CCUACGGGAGGCAGCAGUCGAGAAUCAUUCACAAUGGGGGAAACCCUGAUGGUGCGACGCCGCGUGGGGGAAUGAAGGUCUUCGGAUUGUAAACCCCUGUCAUGUGGGAGCAAAUUAAAAAGAUAGUACCACAAGAGGAAGAGACGGCUAACUCUGUGCCAGCAGCCGCGGUAAUACAGAGGUCUCAAGCGUUGUUCGGAAUCACUGGGCGUAAGGCGUGCGUAGGCUGUUUCGUAAGUCGUGUGUGAAAGGCGCGGGCUCAACCCGCGGACGGCACAUGAUACUGCGAGACUAGAGUAAUGGAGGGGGAACCGGAAUUCGCGGUGUAGCAGUGAAAUGCGUAGAUAUCGAGAGGAACACUCGUGGCGAAGGCAGGUUCCUGGACAUUAACUGACGCUGAGGCACGAAGGCCAGGGGAGCGAAAGGGAUUAGAUACCCUUGUAGUC
rnacentral:rRNA from 1 species